AAACUUUUCAGUCUUCCGGAAACGGACCCCUGACCGGCAACGGCUGGGUGUGGUGCGACGGUCGUGGCUGGCGCGGCUGGAGCUAGAGGAGUAAAGGGGUGCGAGCCUGUAUUCCGCUCCGGGGUGGAGCACCAUGGACGAAGCGGGCAGCUGUGCAAGCGGCGGAGGCUUCCGCCCGGGCGUGGACAACCUGGACGAGCCGCCCAACAGCCGCAUCUUCCUGGUGAUCAGCAAGUACACUUCCGAGUCGGUGCUGAGGGAGCGCUUCUCGCCGUUUGGGGAAAUUCAGGACAUCUGGGUGGUGCGGGACAGGCACACCAAGGAGUCCAAGGGCAUCGCCUUCGUCAAGUUUGCCCGCAGCUCGCAGGCCUGUAGGGCCAUGGAGGAGAUGCAUGGCCAGUGCCUCACCCCCAGCGACACCAAGCCUAUCAAGGUUUUCAUUGCUCAGUCCAGAUCAUCUGGAAGUCACCGAGAUGUUGAAGAUGAAGAACUUACAAGAAUAUUUGUUAUGAUACCAAAGUCCUACACAGAAGAAGAUCUACGGGAAAAAUUUAAGGUGUUUGGAGAUAUCGAGUAUUGCAGCAUUAUUAAGAAUAAAGUAACUGGAGAAAGUAAAGGCUUGGGCUAUGUUCGAUACUUAAAACCAUCACAAGCUGCCCAAGCAAUAGAAAACUGUGAUCGAAGUUAUAGGGCAAUCUUGGCUGAACCUAAAAAUAAAUCAUCUGAAUCGUCAGAACAAGAUUAUUAUAGUAAUAUGAGGCAGGAGACUUUGGGACAUGAACCUAGGGUAAAUAUGUUUUCAUUUGAACAACAAUCUGAAUUUUCAAGUUUUGACAAGAAUGACAACAGAGGCCAGGAAGCUAUCUCCAAACGCCUGUCAGUUGUAUCAAGAGUUCCUUUUACUGAAGAGCAGCUUUUCAGCAUUUUUGAUAUAGUACCAGGCUUGGAAUACUGUGAAGUCCAACGAGAUCCUUAUUCUAACUAUGGUCAUGGAGUGGUUCAGUAUUUUAAUGUAGCAUCAGCUAUUUAUGCAAAAUACAAGUUACAUGGAUUUCAGUACCCUCCUGGGAAUCGGAUAGGUGUUUCCUUCACUGAUGAUGGGAGUAAUGCAACAGAUCUCCUUAGGAAAAUGGCAACGCAGAUGGUAGCUGCACAGCUUGCAUCAAUGGUGUGGAAUAACCCAAGUCAGCAGCAAUUUCUGCAAUUUGGAGGAAGUUCUGGAUCACAGCUGCCUCAAAUCCAGACGGAUGUUGCACUACCAUCAUGCAAAAAAAAAGCUCCUCCUGACACUCCUGUGAAGGAAAGACUUUUUAUCGUGUUUAAUCCACAUCCUUUGCCUUUAGAUGUACUAGAAGAUAUAUUCUGUCGAUUUGGUAACCUGAUUGAAGUUUACCUUGUGUCAGGAAAAAAUGUGGGGUAUGCCAAGUAUGCUGAUAGACUAAGUGCUAACGAUGCCAUUACAACUUUACAUGGAAAGAUCCUGAAUGGAGUCAGACUCAAAGUUAUGUUGGCAGACUCCCCAAGAGAAGAAUCUAACAAACGACAAAGAACUUACUGAUUCUUUAGAUCUUUUAUGGUCGAUCACAUACUGAAAGCAGCUCUCAGAUUUGCUGCAUCUAGAGCAUCAUGUUCCAAACUAUGUUCCUGGAAACACUAUUGUCUUGAGAGAAGUCAAGAAGUAUUUCUUUUGGAAAGAAGUUUUCAUGGUCCGAAACAGUAACUCAAGAACAGUGGAUCCUGUGAACUGAAGGUAUGGUAUUGCUAGGGGGUCAAACAGAAAUAUUUAGUUAAAAUAUGAAAUUGCAGUUCAUUCAUUACAAUGACUGUGCUGUAUUUAGUUAGAAUUGUCCUCAGGAGAAUACGCAGGUCCCACUACACUCUGAGAAAGUUAACAGGUCCUGUGAGAAUCCGCUUGAGUGGUUAUCACAGGAAAAGAAAGUCCAAUGACUGUCAUCUAUGAAUUGUAGGCACUAUCUAAACGUCCAGGUCCACGUGAGCUAGCUAAACUCCAAGCUAACCACGACUGCAGCUCCUGUGGCAUCCUAGAGACUGCCUUUCUGACCACACUGCUGCAGAAGUGGUGGGAGGAAGGCUUUAGCAGACUGUUUAAGGAAAGUUAUUAAUGUUUGAGAUGCAAAAAUCAGGAAUGUGUGAAAAAGCAAGUACUGUUUUUCACAAAUAAUUGGGAAACUGCUGGGUACAGUAGGAUAACCAAAGUGCUUACUCACAGCUAUUCCUGUUAAUCUACACUCUGAACUUUCCUGCCUCUCUCUCCGUUUCUGAUCUUGAAGGUAAAUGGUGUUACUAGUAAUUUUCUUGUUCAGAUAUUACCGUUUUCCAGUGUUAGUAAUUUAUAGGUCUCAGCAUUUAUUACCACAGAGUUGUUAGGGAUUUUGUUUCUUUUAUUUUUGUGGGGUUUUUUUUUAAUGCUAAAAGAAGAGAUUUAAAGUCAUCUAAAUAGAGUUAUCUACUAAUAUACAGGAAGAUCUGAUAUAUAAAAAUACAUAAUGUUCCUUUCAUCAUCGACAAACUCUGUUAUUUUGGUUUGGGACCCCAGUUAGGCACAAAAAGCUUUCUUCCUCUUCCACGUUAGUACAUUAGUAAUUUAAGAAGCAUAAGUGGCCAUUGACAUUGGGGGAAGGUAGGGAAGGGAUCACAGCUUGUUACUUGUAGGACUGACUUUAGGAAGAACCUGUAGCAGUGGAGGAGAGCUCUGGGACGGACAGACUGACCAGCUUUGGCUGUAUCAAAAUUGGACCACCGAUGGCAAAGAAAAAGUAUACUUGAAGAGAGUACCCAUCUUUUCUUUGCCAUUGCAAACCCCUGUGAGGGUUUGCAGUAGUGGGUUCAUCUCCCAUCAAUACCUUAUUGGCUUAAUCCUUUCAUCAGAAUUCUGGCAGGGUUCACUUUCUACCACUUACACCCCAAAUGUGGGAACUGUAGAUAGACACUGUAAUGUGGUCCCAUCUUUCACCCAGCCCAGUCUUAAAUUACUGCAGUGACUCAGAGUAAGUAUUUCAUAAAGUGCAAUGGAAUUAGAUCUCCUUACAACAUCCUGCAAGAUGAGCAGUGUGCCUGAAAUAAUACCCAGCUUCUGUUCAGUAGCUUUCAGUUACUUGUAAUAUAACAAUGUAUCAUGUCUUCUAAGUCUUGUUAUUAUCUUUGUCUUUAGUUCUCCCAAGAGCAUAUUUCAUGUGUGAUAUCACCAUGGCCUUUUGAGGCCUGUUUCCUCAUCUAGAACAUUAAAGGCUGUGUAAACACAGAUACUUAUAACCCCCUUCUCCCAACUUUCUGCAAAAAUACCCUUGAAAACAUUUAAGAAAAAAAUUGGUAUCAUUCAUUGAAACUUAAAUAGAUAAGACUAAGUAGAUACAUUGGUAAGAAUAGUAGAUACUAGGAGAAAUGUUUACUAUAAAGCAGUAAUGAGGUGGAUUUUCUUUAAUAGCUGACUCAAAUCCCACUUUGAAACAACUUGUCACGUGAAACAAGAUGAUACCUUAGCUUCCCAGCUUCUAACACUCCUUAUUAACUUGUAUAUAAGAAGGCUGUACUAAUAAUUUGAGAUAGCUAUUGAGAGUCCCAUCAGAAAAGGCUUUCAUUCUGCGUUUCUUAACUAGUGGCACUGAAGCUGCACCGUCUUGGAGCUUUUCCUUAACCAAGAGAACCACAGCUGACAUUCACCUUGGGGUGGAGAGUUGUGGAAGAGAUCCCACCUCUGAGCAGAAGAGCAGUGCUGAAUGACAAAGGCAGCAUAAGCAGCCCAGAGAGAUCUUCCGCCCAUCAGCAGAUUAGAACACUUAGAGCAGAUUUUUUAAAAUACUCAUCCUCUGUCUUAAGAACUUUGGUCUUAUUGCAUGAAAAUCCCUUAGCCUCUUCCACCCUAGGCCUAGAUCUAACAGACAUCCUUGCGUUUCCUGGAGAAAUGGAAUGGGCCUGACAUUUCAGACAAUGUGCUGGAUAUUACAUCAGCACUUUAGUGAACUCUGAAAGAGCUUAAAGCAGUCCCUGUGUUCUGCCAAUUCCGAAAUCAGCCUGGCUACAUGUGUCCUCAUUGAGAAAUGGGCAAGAGAUUUACGCUACUGGCAUUUCACAAAAGAAGGCCGAGAAAGGAUUACAGUUUCUUUUGGCAGAGGAAGGGAGGAUUGGGUACAUUCUUUAGCUUUUAUGAAGAAACAUUAAAACAUUCUCUCAUUAAAACAUUUUUUACUUUGACAUUUAAUGUAAGUUGAAUCUUUUUAAAAUCGGUUAAAUGCUCAGUAAUGCUGGUCAUCAAGGAAACAUUAAAACCACAGUAAGAUACCCCUCCACUGGUAAGAGCAGCAAAAAUUAAGAUAUCAACAAUACCAGAUGUUGGUAUGAGUGUGGAGCAACAGGAUCUCUCAACCUGCUGAUGGGAGUGUAAAUUGGUUCAACCACCUGAGAAAUAUUUGACAAAUACCUGUUAAUGUUAAAACAUACAUCCACCCUCAACUCAGCAGUUCCACUGCUAAUGUGUGUAUCCAAAAAAGAUAAGAAAAUACAUGUCCCGAAGAUGAACUUUACUGGUAGCUUAAAGUAGAAGCAGCCCCUAAUGGCCAUCAGCAGAAUGGAUACUGUGAAGUACUCUAUAGUGAGGAAAUGAGCUAAUUUGCUUGCUACAUGUAAUAAUUUGGAUGAAUCUUAUGAACAUACUGACCAAGGAGCCAACAAAAGAAAAUGUUAUAUGAUUCCCACUUGUGAAAGGGUUCAGAAACAAAACUUAAGCAGAAUUAAUUGGGGAGGGGUCACAGAGGGAUAAAAGGGGGCUUGUGGUAUACUGGUAAUCUUGUCUUUCUGGAUCUGCGUGGUGGUAACUUUGUGAAAACCUUUUUGAGUUGUGCUUUUUAUGUUUUAUGCAUUUUUUGUAUUUGUCUUACACAUCAUUCAAAGUCUUGGUUUCUUAAUGCAUUAAACAGUAUCAACAUGAGGCUAAUGAAACAGACUCUCCUGCAGUGUGAGAGAACAGCAGUAGCCUGAGGCAUUCAGAGGGAAGGGCUUUCUGUAUCCAUCCAGUGCGUUUAAAGCAGGACGUGUUAGAAAAUACCUGCGUCCCCGGCUCUGGUACGACAGGGCAUUAUGACGACAAGGACACAGAGGAGCCAGAGAGGAGGAAAAGAUAGGGAGAAGCUAAAUUAAAAGUUGUGUCAGAAAUAGUAAAUAGUCACAGAUUAAAGAAAAUCUAACCCAUAGUGAAGAACAGUAACUACCACGCUGCUUGCAGAAUGUUACGGGUUCUCAUGAACCAGCAAAGGGAAGACAGAGAGGUUCCCCCAACUUGGUAUCAACCAGAUUAAAGCUGUCUUCAUCUGUGUUCUAAACUGUGCUUAAUAAGCUCUCCUGUAAGGAAUUCCGCAACUUAAUAAAGUUACAAUAAAUCCAAAGCACCGAUACAGGAAUGUAUUGAGAGAAAAUGUGGAGAUACAAAAGGCUGAUGAUGAAGAUUUAUCCUGUGAAUAAUAGAUGUUCCCUAAGAAGGCAAGAUGAA